rnacentral:rRNA from 1 species
CAGUAGCCGCGGGAAUACAGAGGGUGCGAGCGUUAAUCGGAUUUACUGGGCGUAAAGCGUGCGUAGGCGGCUUUUUAAGUCGGAUGUGAAAUCCCUGAGCUUAACUUAGGAAUUGCAUUCGAUACUGGGAAGCUAGAGUAUGGGAGAGGAUGGUAGAAUUCCAGGCGUAGCGGUGAAAUGCGUAGAGAUCUGGAGGAAUACCGAUGGCGAAGGCAGCCAUCUGGCCUAAUACUGACGCUGAGGUACGAAAGCAUGGGGAGCAAACAGGAUUAGAGACCCCCGUAGUCCCUGUCUCUUAUAC